rnacentral:rRNA from 1 species
GACGAACGCUGGCGGCGUGCCUAAUACAUGCAAGUCGAGCGGACCAACCAGGAGCUUGCUCUUGCUUGGUUAGCGGCGGACGGGUGAGUAACACGUGGGUAACCUGCCCGUAAGACCGGGAUAACUCCGGGAAACCGGAGCUAAUACCGGAUAACACCGAAGACCGCAUGGUCUUUGGUUGAAAGGCGGCUUCGGCUGCCACUUACGGAUGGGCCCGCGGCGCAUUAGCUAGUUGGUGAGGUAACGGCUCACCAAGGCGACGAUGCGUAGCCGGCCUGAGAGGGUGACCGGCCACACUGGGACUGAGACACGGCCCAGACUCCUACGGGAGGCAGCAGUAGGGAAUCUUCCGCAAUGGACGAAAGUCUGACGGAGCGACGCCGCGUGAGCGAAGAAGGUCUUCGGAUCGUAAAGCUCUGUUGUUAGGGAAGAAGAAGCGCCGUUCGAACAGGGCGGCGCGGUGACGGUACCUAACGAGAAAGCCCCGGCUAACUACGUG